rnacentral:rRNA from 1 species
UGAGACACGGUCCAGACUCCUACGGGAGGCAGCAGUGGGGAAUAUUGCACAAUGGGCGCAAGCCUGAUGCAGCCAUGCCGCGUGUGUGAAGAAGGCCUUCGGGUUGUAAAGCACUUUCAGCGGGGAGGAAGGCGUUAAGGUUAAUAACCUUGGCGAUUGACGUUACCCGCAGAAGAAGCACCGGCUAACUCCGUGCCAGCAGCCGCGGUAAUACGGAGGGUGCAAGCGUUAAUCGGAAUUACUGGGCGUAAAGCGCACGCAGGCGGUCUGUCAAGUCGGAUGUGAAAUCCCCGGGCUCAACCUGGGAACUGCAUUCGAAACUGGCAGGCNUAGAGUCUUGUAGAGGGGGGNUAGAAUUCCAGGUGUAGCGGUGAAAUGCGUAGAGAUCUGGAGGAAUACCGGUGGCGAAGGCGGCCCCCUGGACAAAGACUGACGCUCAGGUGCGAAAGCGUGGGGNAGCAAACAGGANUUAGAUACCCUGGUAGUCCACGCCGUAAACGAUGNUCGAUUUGGAGGUUGUGCCCUUGAGGCGUGGCUUCCGGAGCUAACGCGUUAAAUCGACCGCCUGGGGNAGUACGGCCGCAAGGUUAAAACUCAAAUGAAUUGACGGGGGCCCGCACAAGCGGUGGAGCAUGUGGUUUAAUUCGAUGCAACGCGAAGAACCUUACCUGGUCUUGACAUCCACAGAACUUUCCAGAGAUGGAUUGGUGCCUUCGGGAACUGUGAGACAGGUGCUGCAUGGCUGUCGUCAGCUCGUGUUGUGAAAUGUUGGGUUAAGUCCCGCAACGAGCGCAACCCUUAUCCUUUGUUGCCAGCGGUUCGGCCGGGAACUCAAAGGAGACUGCCAGUGAUAAACUGGAGGAAGGUGGGGAUGACGUCAAGUCAUCAUGGCCCUUACGACCAGGGCUACACACGUGCUACAAUGGCAUAUACAAAGAGAAGCGACCUCGCGAGAGCAAGCGGACCUCAUAAAGUAUGUCGUAGUCCGGAUUGGAGUCUGCAACUCGACUCCAUGAAGUCGGAAUCGCUAGUAAUCGUAGAUCAGAAUGCUACGGUGAAUACGUUCCCGGGCCUUGUACACACCGCCCGUCACACCAUGGGAGUGGGUUGCAAAAGAAGUAGGUAGCUUAACCUUCGGGAGGGCGCUUACCACUUUGUGAUUCAUGACUGGGGUGAAGUCGUAACAAGGUAACCGUAGGGGAACCUGCGGUUGGAUCACCUCCUUACCUUAAAGAA